CAGUUGGGAGAGCCGCAGUUUUGGUUCGUUGGAAUUAUUCCACCCGGCUGC
rnacentral:ncRNA from 1 species